CAUCGGGCAGUUUAGAGUCAGUCUCGACGGCGACCAGCACGAUGUGGGUGGCCGACGUGUAGACGACGGAGAGGUGCUCGGUUGUUUUCUCAGGAGCAAGUCCUUGAUAGCAAGUUUCCACUCCAUCACCUAGGUGAGCCCCCGUCUUCCUCCUCCGCCGCCGCCUCCACCGGCAGGAUCCCCCUCGUAAUGGCCUUCCUCGCCUGCCUCGCCUGGCUGUACGUCGCCGGCCGGCUAUGGCAGGACGCGCAGACCCGGGCAACCCUCUCCGGUCAGGCUCUCCGGCCUCCUCGAGAAGAGCAGCAGCAAUGUGCGGAUCUCUCAAUCCCCCUCUCUGCCCACCUCUCGUUUUUCUCAAUUUUUCCUGGCGGUGGCACUUGAUUGCAGCUCCCCAAGGAGAUCCUGGGGGACGACAAGCCGAAGGACCUGGGAUGCACGUAAUUUAUUGGUUCCUUUCUGGUGUGACUUGUUCUUCUGGUUUGUUGAUUCAAAAUGGGUUGUUUGGUUUUGGAGGAUGGAGGGAUUGAGAGGAAGAUCGCCGAGGUGGAGAUGGACAUUGCCAAGGCGAAGAGCGAGGGGUAUUGUGGGGGAAUGAGGCUGGUGCUGGUACCGGUACCAAGGGUUCCGACAGAAAGAAUAAGGAUUGAACUCGCGAUGGUAAUGAUGAGUCUGCAAGGUCAAGGUCAUAUGGUCUAAUUACCAAAUCACAGAAAGGAGAGGAGGAAGCUGAGCUCCGCCCUUUUUUCUGUCCAGGAGAGAAGGUUAUUUUUUUUAUUGAAACCUGCACCUUGUAUUGGGUCUGGAGGAAAUUUUUCUCUGUGUCUAUAGUUGUUGUAUCUUAGUACUCCGUAGUGUACUGCCUGUACCAUGGCAUACCAAUUGUUCGGACAGAUCAAAAGGCAUAUAAAUGCUAUUGUACUUCCACA